rnacentral:rRNA from 1 species
AUGGCAAAAGCUAUACCAAAAAUUGGUUCAUGUAAGAAAGUGCGUAUUGGUUUACGUAGGAAUGCACGUUUUAGUUUACGGAAGAGUGCACGUAGAAUAACAAAUGGGGUUAUUCAUGUUCAAGCCAGUUUCAACAAUACCAUUAUAACUGUUACAAACCCACAAGGUUGUGUGGUUUUUUGGUCCUCGGCCGAUACUUGUGGAUUCAAAAGCUCAAGAAAAGCAUCACCCUAUGCUGGUUAA